ACUUAAAUUGAAGAGUUUGAUCAUGGCUCAGAUUGAACGCUGGCGGCAGGCCUAACACAUGCAAGUCGAGCGGUAGCACAGAGAGCUUGCUCUCGGUUG
rnacentral:rRNA from 1 species